rnacentral:rRNA from 1 species
CCCUUAGAUGUUCUGGGCGGCCCGCGCACUACACUGGCACUCUCAAUCAGAGCCUAAAUCUAAAACUUUGUGGUAUUCUAUGAAGAGGUGUCGUGACUGGGAUUAACCCUUGCAAUUAUUGGUUACGAACGAGGAAUUCCCAGUAAGUGUGGGUCAUAAGCUCGCGUUGAUUACGUCCCUGCCCUUUGUACACACCGCCCGUCGCACCUACCGAUUGAAUGGUCCGGUGAAAUCUUGGGAGUCCCAGUGAUGUCUGCUUGCGGACUCGCAGGGGUGAACUUGAUUAAACCUUACCAUUUAGAGGAAGGUGAANUCGUANCA